CAUCCCCAUGAUGAAUAUUUUCCAGAAUUCUAACGUUAAAAGUAGACUGAAAAUUCUUGAUGCGAAAUAAUUUUUCUGAGGGAUG